AGCGAACGCUGGCGGCAGGCUUAACACAUGCAAGUCGAGCGGGCAUCCUUGUGGUGUCCGCGGCAGACGGGUGAGUAACGCGUGGGAACGUGCCCUUCGGUUCGGAAUAACUCAGGGAAACUUGAGCUAAUACCGGAUACGUGCGAGAGCAGAAAGGUUUAUCUGCCGAAGGAUCGGCCCGCGUCUGAUUAGCUAGUUGGUGAGGUUAUGGCCCACCAAGGCGACGAUCAGUAGCUGGUCUGAGAGGAUGAUCAGCCACACUGGGACUGAGACACGGCCCAGACUCCUACGGGAGGCAGCAGUGGGGAAUAUUGGACAAUGGGGGCAACCCUGAUCCAGCCAUGCCGCGUGAGUGAUGACGGCCUUAGGGUUGUAAAGCUCUUUUCUUCGGGACGAUAAUGACGGUACCGGAGGAAUAAGCCCCGGCUAACUUCGUG
rnacentral:rRNA from 1 species